UGCAGAGUGGUACCAGGCAGGGAGUACUUCCUUGGAAGGAAUUUUAAAGCAGCCUGGGUUGGCAAAGGGCAUGCGAAGAACCAAUCACGCUUGAACGUGUGUGCACAGUGGGGUAAGUGCCUCGCCAACUGUGACUUUUCCGUGUGUCUUCAACAGUCUCUGCUAACCUUUGCAAUUUAAUUCCCCACAGGAAGAAAACAAUACCACUUAAAGUGUUCUUUCGAUGUUCAACCCAACUUUCCCUUCGGAUUCUUGAGCCUGGAUACCCUUUAGAAGCACAUACAAAGCAAACUCCAGUCUUUGAGAGCAUCAAGACUCGGCUCUUUCAGCCCGGAUAUGACUGAUGCAGCUUGACAGGCUCCUCCACCUAGAGCAGCUGCGAAGUCCCAGGGACUGAGUAAUGUGAUUUGGGGCAGGUUUUUCUUCGGUGCCUUGCGAUGAGGAACCAGCUUAACAAGCAGUCAUGUCUGAGUUCUCACUUCACCGCAAACCUUGCUUGAGGACUUCAGAGCUUUAAAGGGCUCUGUUCCCAGAGGAGAAGCAGGAGAAGGCACCUAGAGCCCUGUUCUAUCACUAUUGAUAAUUUCAUCUCCAGGCCAAACACUGCCAACCAGGACCCACAGUGUGCAAACGGGAUCUCCAGCGUCCUGAGCAAAGCCAAGAUCUGAGCAGAAAGGCCCACCGAAGAAGAUUCCUUUUGAAGAUGAUCAAGGAGACAAAGGGAGAGAGAGACACAGGUUCCAGGCAAGUGGACCGGUGGGGCAGAGAUUCCCACCCUCCUCUCAGGAAAGAAUCGACGUGGCUAGAGAGGAAUGUGAGAAGAAAUGGGGGGAAGGGAGAGCAACGAAAGCUAUUUAUCUCGCAGCAGCCUUGGGAGAGGAGUAAAGGAGGAGGGGCCGAGUUUCAAAACAACUUGCGGACUUAAGAGACUAUAACAAUGGCGGAGGCAAGAUGAUUUAAAGUCAGAUAGAUUAAUAAUAAACUUGAUUAUCCUGAAUGGUUUUCUUUAGCC
rnacentral:lncRNA from 1 species